rnacentral:lncRNA from 1 species
UAGGAUAAGUGCUGACUAUGAUUAUGUUAUUUACUGCUACUUGUGAUAGUACAAUGCCCUGUUGUUUAGGUUGUUAAUAGUUGUUUCCUGUUUGUUUCUAAUUGAUAUACCAUGAUGCAUUAGUUUCUAUGUUGCAUUUGAAGUUUUUGACGUCUAAUGGAAUAAGUAAAGAAAAUCAUGAGUUGGAAGAUUAUAGGAUUAUAAUAUGCAAUGUAGAAAUUUGCAGUUACAUGAUUUAAAGUAUUUUAAUACUCUCUCUUUUCUUUUCUUUUUUUUGCGAAGUUGGUAAAUCGACCAAUUUCAUCGAGAGGAUGAAGAAUUAAAGACAAAAGGGAAUAGAUAUAGAAGGAAAACAGAAAAAAGAAAAAGGCAUUCAACCUCAGAAUUUCCACAAGCAACCAGCAUGAUCUCUAAACGAAGGGAUCUUAUAAAUUUUCAUUGAAGGAAACACCUUUUUUUUUAUGAAUUGUCCACAAGCAACCAGCAUGAUCUCUAAACGAAGGGAUCUUAUAAAUUUUCAUUGAAGGAAACACCUUUUUUUUUAUGAAUUGUAACUUGCAAUUUCAAAGAUAAUGUAAAGUCACGAAAUAU